ensembl:rRNA 5_8S_rRNA 5.8S ribosomal RNA
UAGGGUUAGGUGGGUGACUCAGCUUGUGUGUCAAUGAAGAAUGCAGCUAGCUGCUAGAAUUAAUGUGAAUUGCAGGACACCUUGAUCAUAGACUCUUCAAAUGCACUUGUGGCCAUGGGUUCCUCCCGGAGCUACGCCAUCUGAGUGUCA